AUUCCAGCUCCAAUAGCGUAUAUUAAAGUUGUUGCAGUUAAAAAGCUCGUAGUUGAGCUUCAGGCUUGGUUGGGCGGUCCGCCUCACGGCGUGUACUGUCUGACUGGGUCUUACCUCUUGGUGAGCCAGCGUGGCCUUUAUUGGUUGCGUUGGGGAACCAGGACUUUUACCUUGAGAAAAUUAGAGUGUUCAAAGCAGGCCUAUGUCCGAAUACAUUAGCAUGGAAUAAUAAAAUAGGACGUGCGAUCCUAUUUUGUUGGUUUCUAGAGUCGCCGUAAUGAUUAAUAGGGAUAGUUGGGGGCAUUGGUAUUGAGUCGCUAGAGGUGAAAUUCUUGGAUUGACUCAAGACCAACUACUGCGAAAGCAUUUGCCAAGGAUGUUUUCAUUG
rnacentral:rRNA from 1 species